CUGGUAACAGAACAGAGGUGUGAUGGAGGGAUUCCGAUAACAGAACAGAGGUGUGAUGGAGGGAUGCCUGUAACAGAACAGAGGUGUGAUGGAGGGAUUCCGGUAACAGAACGAAGGUGUGAUGGAGGGAUGCCUAUAACAGAACAGAGGUGUGAUGGAGGGAUUCUGGUAACAGAACAGAGGUGUGAUGGAGGAAUGCCUGUAACAGAACAAAGGUGUGAUGGAGGGAUGCCUAUAACAGAACAGAGGUGUGAUAGAGGGAUUUCGGUUACAGAACAGAGGUGUGAUGGAGGGAUUCCGGUAACAGAACAGAGGUGUGAUGGAGGGAUGUCUGUAACAGAACAGAGGUCUGAUGGAGGGAUUCUGGUAACAGAACACAGGUGUGAUGGAGGGAUUCUGGUAACAGAACAGAGGUGUGAUGGAGGGAUUCUGGUAACAGAACAGAGGUGUGAUGGAG
ensembl:lncRNA